rnacentral:rRNA from 1 species
CCUACGGGCGGCAGCAGUGGGGAAUAUUGCACAAUGGGGGAAACCCUGAUGCAGCGACGCCGCGUGAGUGAAGAAGUAUUUCGGUACGUAAAGCUCUAUCAGCAGGGAAGAAAAACCGGGCUUAGGGCCGCCAGACGGUACCCGACUAAGAAGCCCCGGCUAACUACGUGCCAGCAGCCGCGGUAAUACGUAGGGGGCAAGCGUUAUCCGGAUUUACUGGGUGUAAAGGGAGCGUAGACGGGAGCGCAAGUCUGGAGUGAAAUGUCGGGGCCUAACCCCGAAACUGCUUUGGAAACUGUGGAGCUGGAGUGCAGGAGAGGUAAGCGGAAUUCCUAGUGUAGCGGUGAAAUGCGUAGAUAUUAGGAGGAACACCAGUGGCGAAGGCGGCUUACUGGACUGUAACUGACGUUGAGGCUCGAAAGCGUGGGGAGCAAACAGGAUUAGAUACCCGUGUAGUC